rnacentral:rRNA from 1 species
UACGUAGGUGGCAAGCGUUAUCCGGAAUUAUUGGGCGUAAAGGGUGCGCAGGCGGCUAUUUAAGUCCGUGGUAAAAGACUGAAGCUCAACUUCAGUAAGCCGCGGAAACUGGAUGGCUAGAGUGCAGGAGAGGGUAGUGGAAUUCCAUGUGUAGCGGUAAAAUGCGUAGAUAUAUGGAGGAACACCAGUGGCGAAAGCGGCUACCUGGCCUGUAACUGACGCUCAUGCACGAAAGCGUGGGGAGCAAAUAGG